rnacentral:rRNA from 1 species
GACGAACGCUGGCGGCGUGCCUAAUACAUGCAAGUAGGACGCAGUUGCGAACGGGUGAGUAACGCGUAGGUAACUACCUAUUAGCGUGGGAUAACUAUUGGAAACGAUAGCUAAUACCGCAUACUCGUAGAUGGACCUGCGUUGUAUUAGCUAGUAGGUAGGGUAAUGGCCUACCUAGGCAACGAUACAUAGCCGAGCUGAGAGGGUGAGCGGCAACACUGGGACUGAGAAAAGGCCCAGAAUCCUACGGGAGGCAGCAGUAGGGAAUCUUCGGCAAUGGGGGGAACCCUGACCGAGCAACGCCGGGGGAGUGAAGAAGGUUUUCGGAUCGUAAAGCUCUGUUGAUAAGGAAGCGGUACUUAACCAGAAAGGGACGGCUAACUACGUGCCAGCAGCCGCGGUAAUUC